CAACUGCUCUCUCUCUCUCCUCUCUCUGGAAAAAUGAUGAAAGACGGCGGACAAUGACAACCCUCGAUUCAUCAUCGGCGGUGGAGUUGAGCAUGGAGACCAGCUGGCACGAUCGUCAGUGUGGUCUUCCAACCCUAAUGACGUCUGGCAAUUCUAGCAGAAAACAUCGCCGCUCCGACCAGGCAAACGCCGACGAAGAUGAAGAGUGCGAUACCGAAGUUUGGGAGAUCCUGAGCAAGAGCUUCCGGCGGGUUCAGUCAGUUUUGGAUCAGAAUCGAGUCUUGAUUCAGCAGGUCAACGAGAAUCACCAGUCCAAUAUCCCGGAUAAUAUCGCGAAAAACUUGCCCUCAUUCGAGACAUCAAUGGGAAUAUCUCCAAGGUCAUCUCGCUCUACUCCAAUCUCUCUGCCAAUUUCUCCUCUAUUGUCCACGAACGACGUGUACUUAGGGCAUCCAAGAACAGGAACAAGAAGGUUGAGGCUUAAAUCAUAUAAAUGAAGCAGCCACUCUCAAUGAUGGCUGGGGGACUGCCUACCUUAGUACCUUCAUAUGCCGCCCGCAGAAUUAACCAGGAUGAUGGCUCUGGGACUGUGUAUCUACCUUCAUAUACCAUCUGCAGAAUUAAUGAGUUAGAUCAAUAACAGGCCUUCAGCCUCCUCCUCCAGUCUUGAUGAUGGGAUCAGAUUAAUCCAAGCUUGCUGCAAAUGCCAACAUCAAUAUCUCUUGGAUUCUUGGUCAAGAUUGGGUCAAGAAAUGUUUUGGGUGUUAGUACCUCCUAGAGGAAUAUUUGGAAUCCAAGUUGCAUGAAUGUUUCACGAUCGUUCUUUGGAGGAUACAGGUAGGCCUCUUAGCAACAGCAUAGAAGGAAUUGAUCCAUAACAUUUCAAACCACCUGUUUUUCAGAUGUCACCUUGUUGUGUUUGGUUGCUCAUAUUCUUGAGUAGUGGACAUGCACAAAGAAAGAAAUGCAUAGUUGAAUCAGCACUGGGGGAAACCGUCGACGGUUUGGUAGAAAUCUCAAAAUGUCUGCUCUCGGUAUCUUUACGUCGAAGUAACCGUCAACGGCUGUCUGAAUGUUGCUGAGACGGUUUGCUCUCUGUAUCUCAAACCAUCACUGGUUUAGUUUGGCACGGGAUAGCGAGGCUGAUUUCAAAUUUUGAAUGUGAAUGUUAGUGUGGUUGGUUGUUUGGAGGGAAACCUCCGAAGUGUUUAUAAAUAUACCGUUCUGGGUAUAUUUUCAAAGAGAAAAAAAGAUGAUCAUUGUGAAAGUAUUGUAUUGUGUUCUUUGACACUUGCAUAGUGUCACGUAAACAUUGCUGAACCACGUAAUUCUUUGCAUUGUUGUUCUUGCUUUUAUAUAUACUGUGUGUGUGUUCCAUA